CUCUAGACAGUCUGCCAAAGUAUAAACCAACAUCAACAAUCACAGUCUGCCCUCAAGGCCUGCUCUAAACAGUAUGGCAAAGUAUAACACGUCAUAAAUAAUGACAGUCUCCCCUUAAGGCCUGCUCUAGACAUAAUCCCAAAGUAUAAAUUGUUAUGGCCUGCUCUAGACUUGACUAGUCUAGACAGUCUGCCACUACGGCCUGCUCUAGAAGACAGGCUGCUAUCAAAGCCUGUUCUAGACAGUCUGCCAAAUUCAACCUAGACAAUCUAAUAAUUUGAUUUGGUAUGGCCUGCUCUAGACUGGACCAGUCUAGACAGUCUGCCAUCACGGCCUGCUCUAGAAGACAGGCUGCUAUCAAAGCCUGUUCUAGACAGUCUGCCAAGAUCCAACCUAGUCAAUCUAAUAAUUUGAUUUGGUAUGGCCUGCUCUAGACUGGACCAGUCUAGACAGUCUGCCAUCACGGCCUGCUCUAGAAGACAGGCUGCUAUCAAAGCCUGUUCUAGACAGUCUGCCAAGAUUCAACCUAGUCAAUCUAAUAAUUUGAUUUGGUAUGGCCUGCUCUAGACUGGACCAGUCUAGACAGUCUGCCAUCACGGCCUGCUCUAGAAGACAGGCUGCUAUCAAAGCCUGUUCUAGACAGUCAGCCAAAGUUUAAAUCAUCAACAUCAUAAACAAUCGCGGCCUACCCCAGACAGUCUGCCUUCAAGGCCUGCGCUGGUCAGUUUGCCAAAGUAUAAACUAAUAUAUAUAUUUUAAUUUGGAUCAGACAACAAAGCCCAUAUUACAAUAACCUAACUUUGCCAAAACAUAAACUAACAUAAUAAACAGUCAUGGCCUGCUCUAGACAGUCUGCCAUUACGGCCUGCACUAGACAGUCUGCCAAAACUCAACAGUUAUAUUCUAGAUUCAUAAUAUUAAUAUGAUAACUAGCAAUCAUGUCAGCGAAGAGUCUCGAACAACACCUAGAGAUACUCUCGCUGGGUCGCUGGAUUAAGGUUCAGAUGCAGAAGGUGGUAAUCUUGGACACGGCGCGUAUGUACGUCGGUUCCUCACUCUGUGGCCCUGACCAUCGGCAGCUUGGGCCCUGCCCACUGCUGGCAGCACCAUCUUAACGGUUUAACCUCCUUUGCUUCAGUCAGCUCUUGCUGCGAAGCCCUCGCUUAUCAUCAACUUCAUCCGUUCAGCCAGGUUACCAGCGUUGAAACAUAAAAAAAUAAAAA